rnacentral:rRNA from 1 species
GGGGGCAACCCUGGCGGCGAGCGGCGAACGGGUGAGUAAUACAUCGGAACGUGUCCAGUAGCGGGGGAUAACCUGUCGAAAGAUAGGCUAAUACCGCAUACGAUCUACGGAUGAAAGCGGGGGACCGCAAGGCCUCGCACUAUUGGAGCGGCCGAUGUCGGAUUAGCUAGUUGGCGGGGUAAAAGCCCACCAAGGCGACGAUCCGUAGCUGGUCUGAGAGGACGACCAGCCACACUGGAACUGAGACACGGUCCAGACUCCUACGGGAGGCAGCAGUGGGGAAUUUUGGACAAUGGGGGCAACCCUGAUCCAGCCAUGCCGCGUGAGUGAAGAAGGCCUUCGGGUUGUAAAGCUCUUUCGGCGGGGACGAAACGGUUCGUGACAACACCACGAACUAAUGACGGUACUCGCAGAAGAAGCACCGGCUAACUACGUGCCAGCAGCCGCGGUAAUACGUAGGGUGCAGGCGUUAAUCGGAAUUACUGGGCGUAAAGCGUGCGCAGGCGGCUCCUUAAGUCAGAUGUGAAAUCCCCGGGCUUAACCUGGGAACUGCGUUUGAAACUGGGGGGCUUGAGUGUGGAAGAGGGGGGUGGAAUUCCAGGUGUAGCAGUGAAAUGCGUAGAGAUCUGGAGGAACACCGAUGGCGAAGGCAGCCCCCUGGGCUAACACUGACGCUCAUGCACGAAAGCGUGGGGAGCAAACAGGAUUAGAUACCCUGGUAGUCCACGCCCUAAACGAUGUCAACUAGUUGUCGGGGAAGCAAUUCC